AGCAGCCGCGGUAAUUCCAGCUCCAAUAGCGUAUAUUAAAGUUGCUGCAGUUAAAAAGCUCGUAGUUGAAUUUCGGGGUCAAUAUGUUGGUCGUGCCUUGGUACGUACUAGCUUAUUGAUUUCUCCUUUCUGACGAACCAUGAUGUCAUUAAUUUGGUGUCAUGGGGAAUCAGGACUGUUACUUUGAAAAAAUUAGAGUGUUUAAAGCAGGCUCGCGCUUGAAUACAUUAGCAUGGAAUAAUGAAAUAGGACAUUUGAUUCUAUUUUGUUGGUUUCUAGGAUCGAUGUAAUGAUUAAUAGGGAUAGUUGGGGGCAUUAGUAUUCAAUUGUCAGAGGUGAAAUUCUUGGAUUUAUUGAAGACUAACUACUGCGAAAGCAUUUGCCAAGGAUGUUUUCAUUAAUCAAAAACGAAAGUUAGGGGAUCGAAGACGAUCAGAUACCGUCGUAGUCUUAACCAUAAACUAUGCCGACUAGGGGUCGGAUGAUGUUAAUUUAAUGACUCA
rnacentral:rRNA from 1 species